UACGAAGGGGGCUAGCGUUGCUCGGAAUCACUGGGCGUAAAGCGCACGUAGGCGGAUUGCUAAGUCAGGGGUGAAAUCCUGGAGCUCAACUCCAGAACUGCCCUUGAUACUGGCGGUCUCGAGUCCGGGAGAGGUGAGUGGAACUGCGAGUGUAGAGGUGAAAUUCGUAGAUAUUCGCAAGAACACCAGUGGCGAAGGCGGCUCACUGGCCCGGUACUGACGCUGAGGUGCGAAAGCGUGGGGAGCAAACGGG
rnacentral:rRNA from 1 species